UGAGAAACCUGUCCCGGUCUCUGGAAUAACAGUCGGAAACGAUUGCUAAUACCGGAUGCCGUCGGAGCGUCGCAUGGCGCGCUGACGAAAGGGCUACCGGAUCGGGAGGGUCUCGCGGCCUAUCAGCUAGUUGGUGGGGUAAUGGCUCACCAAGGCGACGACGGGUAGCUGGUCUGAGAGGAUGGCCAGCCACAUUGGGACUGAGACACGGCCCAGACUCCUACGGGAGGNAG
rnacentral:rRNA from 1 species